GAUGAACGCUGGCGGCAUGCCUUACACAUGCAAGUCGAACGGUAACAGAUCUUCGGAUGCUGACGAGUGGCGAACGGGUGAGUAAUACAUCGGAACGUGCCCGAUCGUGGGGGAUAACGAAGCGAAAGCUUUGCUAAUACCGCAUACGAUCUACGGAUGAAAGCAGGGGACCGCAAGGCCUUGCGCGAACGGAGCGGCCGAUGGCAGAUUAGGUAGUUGGUGGGAUAAAAGCUUACCAAGCCGACGAUCUGUAGCUGGUCUGAGAGGACGACCAGCCGCACUGGGACUGAGACACGGCCCAGACUCCUACGGGAGGCAGCAGUGGGGAAUUUUGGACAAUGGGCGAAAGCCUGAUCCAGCCAUGCCGCGUGCAGGAUGAAGGCCUUCGGGUUGUAAACUGCUUUUGUACGGAACGAAAAGACUCUGGUUAAUACCUGGGGUCCAUGACGGUACCGUAAGAAUAAGCACCGGCUAACUACGUGCCAGCCGCCGCGGUAA
rnacentral:rRNA from 1 species